UUGUCAUCUUCACUAAGAGUUUAGUUUUUCUCUAUUAACGAAAACUUACAGUGAAUAACUUUUGGAUCUUCAUAUUGGGUCCUUCAAUUCUUGCCCAAAUUUGUCUCUGAUUUCCCUUAAAACUUCAACAACCUCCAUUUUCAAUCAAGGAUCAAGAGGAGAAGGCAAAGAAGGGAGUUCUUUCUUCAAGGUUUGCAUUUUAUAGAGCUUCUUACUUCUUUUUGCUGAUUUGUUGGACUUGAUGAAGAGACUUUGGCGUGAUCAAUCAUAAAUGUUCAAGGUUUGCAUUUUGUAGAGCUUCUUACUUCGUUUUGCUGAUUUGUGGGAUUCAGUGGAGGGUCUUUGGCGUGAUCAUUCAUCAGAAUAAUUAUUUUGAUAAGUGAGCUGAGGCUAAAACAGAGCAGGUGAUGUAAGAGACUAGAGCAUCGUUCUCUAACAAUGCAUAGAGGAGGAGAUUUCACGUUUGAGCGAACAGAGAGAAGGUCGGUUACAUUAUGUGGAGGAGCGAUUUAUGCGUGCAUGAUGAGUAAGAUGGCAUUAUCACUCCUUCUUCGAUUCUCGUCCCUUCGAUACAGACUCUUCGGAUGCUUUAGUGGUUACUAAUGUUAGACUUUUUUAUUAACUUUAUACUCAUUCUUUAGAAUUUCUAGAUUUUUAUAGAAGAAUUUAUGUAUUUGCAAUUUUUAAAUUCAUUUUACAUAAUAUAUUUCAUAGUAUGAAAGUUACAUUGUUGUUAUUGUUAAUUAUUUUGUGCUUUUAGCUAACUUGAUGUCAUUUUAGAUUAAUGUGAAAGGUGACAAAUAAAAUUUUUGAUGAAAAA